GGGAGGAACAAAAAGAGGCAGCAGCAGCAGCAGCUAAAAGUGCAAAUCUAUUUUAGUAGUAAUGACUUUGAUCUUUAGCAGAAACAGGCAAGAGAAGCUGCAAAGGAGAGAAUUAAAAAGGCAAAAGCCAGGGAAAACGAUGAAGAACAAACACAAAAUCUCGCCAACUGAGGCCUAUUGUCGGCCAUAGACAAGCCGUUAAACGCAAGAAAAAAUGCAAAGACGAUGAAAGCUACGAAGGAUUGAAACAUCCAAGGCCAUCUGCUGAAGAUUAUUACUCUUGGAACAGGUUUUCCAUUGAUGUAAUCCAACGGAAACUGCAAGAGACUGGCAGCAGUUAUGGAGCAAACAAGAACGACAGAUUGCAGAACCCGCAUUUGAAGAGGACAUAUUUCCAUGACGAGAAGUUGA
rnacentral:misc_RNA from 1 species